AAGUGCGAUCCGCCAUGCUUCCGUGAUCGGGUACGUGAGAGGAAGAUGUGUUUACUCAUGUUCUGUCUUUCUCGCGAGGUAUUCCGUUCUAUGGAAGUUGUAUCGAUCGUGUUUUCGGCUGCUCGCUGGGUCGGCAAGAGUGACGGUCGCUGUCGAACAAGAGUUCCGUCAGGUUCUCUUUGUACUAGUGGCGCGCGCUGUGGCUAAUUGUGCACUUCGGUGUGCAUUGCUUGUGUAUCGGGCCGACCCAGUUGUGAAAAGGCCUGCCUCUGUUCGUCUGUCUCCGAAUUAUGGCAGCAUCUGCUGUUAAUUGGUUGGUGAGGCCGGUCAUGUGGAUGUACUGGCGCGAGGUCGGCAAUCGAAGAGGGCAGCCAAUGGCUUGUGCAGCAUUCGAACCGUCUUGAAACACGGAC
rnacentral:rRNA from 1 species